rnacentral:tRNA from 1 species
CGUUCGAUAGCUCAUAGGUAGAGCAGCCGGCAAAAGCCGGCGUGUAGCGGGUUCGACUCCCGCUCGAACAUUGU